rnacentral:rRNA from 1 species
UCCCAGACUCCUACGGGAGGCAGCAGUGGGGAAUAUUGGACAAUGGGGGGAACCCUGAUCCAGCGACGCCGCGUGAGUGAAGAAGUAUUUCGGUAUGUAAAGCUCUAUCAGCAGGGAAGAAAGAAAUGACGGUACCUGACUAAGAAGCCCCGGCUAACUACGUGCCAGCAGCCGCGGUAAUACGUAGGGGGCAAGCGUUAUCCGGAUUUACUGGGUGUAAAGGGAGCGUAGACGGCGAUGCAAGUCUGAAGUGAAAGGCGGGGGCCCAACCCCCGGACUGCUCUGGAAACUGUACGGCUGGAGUGCAGGAGAGGUAAGUGGAAUUCCUAGUGUAGCGGUGAAAUGCGUAGAUAUUAGGAGGAACACCGGCGGCGAAGGCGGCCUGCUGGACCGAAACUGACGUUGAGGCUCGAAAGCGUGGGGAGCAAACAGGAUUAGAUACCCUGGUAA